UGGGGAAUAUUGCACAAUGGGCGAAAGCCUGAUGCAGCAACGCCGCGUGAGUGAUGAAGGCCUUCGGGUUGUAAAGCUCUGUCUUUUGGGACGAUAAUGACGGUACCAAAGGAGGAAGCCACGGCUAACUACGUGCCAGCAGCCGCGGUAAUACGUAGGUGGCAAGCGUUGUCCGGAUUUACUGGGCGUAAAGGAUGCGUAGGCGGAUUUUUAAGUGAGAUGUGAAAACCCUAAAGGCUUAACUUGGGGACUGCAUUUCAUACUGGAAAAUCUAAGUGCGGGAGAGGAGAAUGGAAUUCCUAGUGUAGCGGUGAAAUGCGUAGAGAUUUAGGAAGAACACCAGUGGCGAAGGCGAUUCUCUGGACCGUAACUGACGCUGAGGCAUGAAAGCGUGGGUNGCAAACAGGAUUUAGAUACCCUGGUAGUCCACGCCGUAAACGAUGAGUACUAGGUGUAGGAGGUAUCGACCCCUUCUGUGCCGCAGUUAACACAAUAAGUACUCCGCCUGGGAAGUACGAUCGCAAGAUUAAAACUCAAAUUGAAUUGACGGGGUCAUAGCUGUUUUCCU
rnacentral:rRNA from 1 species